rfam:Oribacterium sp. oral taxon 078 str. F0262 genomic scaffold Scfld1, whole genome shotgun sequence.
UGACUCCAGUGCCAAAAAGUCCUGUCUCCACGACAUGCUUGCACAAGAGUGGAGACAGGACUUUAUGGCACGCCCCUUUAUAAGCGUAUAACGGGACUCUGUCCUGUGUGAAUGCGAAUAUAGGGCGACAGGGAGCAGCGUGCUGUGAACUAAGGAAACG